rnacentral:rRNA from 1 species
GGGCUAAUACCGGAUAACAUUUUGAACUGCAUGGUUCGAAAUUGAAAGGCGGCUUCGGCUGUCACUUAUGGAUGGACCCGCGUCGCAUUAGCUAGUUGGUGAGGUAACGGCUCACCAAGGCAACGAUGCGUAGCCGACCUGAGAGGGUGAUCGGCCACACUGGGACUGAGACACGGCCCAGACUCCUACGGGAGGCAGCAGUAGGGAAUCUUCCGCAAUGGACGAAAGUCUGACGGAGCAACGCCGCGUGAGUGAUGAAGGCUUUCGGGUCGUAAAACUCUGUUGUUAGGGAAGAACAAGUGCUAGUUGAAUAAGCUGGCACCUUGACGGUACCUAACCAGAAAGCCACGGCUAACUACGUGCCAGCAGCCGCGGUAAUACGUAGGUGGCAAGCGUUAUCCGGAAUUAUUGGGCGUAAAGCGCGCGCAGGUGGUUUCUUAAGUCUGAUGUGAAAGCCCACGGCUCAACCGUGGAGGGUCAUUGGAAACUGGGAGACUUGAGUGCAGAAGAGGAAAGUGGAAUUCCAUGUGUAGCGGUGAAAUGCGUAGAGAUAUGGAGGAACACCAGUGGCGAAGGCGACUUUCUGGUCUGUAACUGACACUGAGGCGCGAAAGC